rnacentral:rRNA from 1 species
UACAGAGGUCCCAAGCGUUGUUCGGAUUCAUUGGGCGUAAAGGGUGCGUAGGUGGCGCCGUAAGUCGGGUGUGAAAUUUCGGAGCUUAACUCCGAAACUGCAUUCGAUACUGCCGUGCUUGAGGACUGGAGAGGAGACUGGAAUUUACGGUGUAGCGGUGAAAUGCGUAGAUAUCGUAAGGAAGACCAGUGGCGAAGGCGGGUCUCUGGACAGUUCCUUGACGCUGAGGCACGAAGGCCAGGGGAGCAAACGGG